GCCCAGGGCACUUAGACUUUUAGGGACCUUUCAUUGGAUUAGCAAUAAACCAUAAACGAGUUAGUAUAAUCUCAAUUAAAUUAAUACUUCCUCUAUUCAGUUUACCACUGACAUCUAUGUGAUCUAAUCUAAAUCUACUAUGGUAGUAAUAUAAUAAUUAUUAAUAAACUAAUAAUAACAUUGGCUCAUAGGACCUAGAGGCAUGAGUAGGGGUAUGAACAGAUGUUUUCCUUUGCCUUCAGAAUUGCACAGGUGUCCAACAACAUUGUAAAGAUACAAGAAGGGGCCAGUUUAAGGACAAGUGCCCUGGGGUGACCAAUAAAUAGCUCUGCUUGCAUAAAUAUUUUGCUGUUUUGUAGUUUUUUUAAAAAAAUCAGUAAUUGAAAUUAGGUCUCGUGGAAAAUUGUGCAUCUUUUUUCUCCAGACUUUCUUAGAAAGACUCAAGUGUUUUCAGUGCUCUCCCCAAAGCCAGAUUUUGAGCUCUCUCUUUUGAGUUGCUGCCUCACUACUCCCUUACCUAAUGUUUCUGAUAAGAACAGUGGAAUAUUGUAUUAGGAUUCUUUUGUAGUCCUUUUGAAGCUCUUUAAUAAAAAUUUCUUUUAAAAAGUAUUCCAUUUUCAGUACACAUAACAAGAUGGAGUAUUCAGUAUUUCAUAAAGUACUUUAUGAUUUGCAAAGAACAUUCAUGGCCAUUGCCUCAUUUAAAUACUUAAAGCAAAUUUGUCAGAUAGACAAAGCAGGUCACCCCAUAAGACAGAUGAAGCUGAAACCACAGGUGGUAAAUGACCCAGGUCUUCUGACUCCUAAUCUAGUACUCUUUCCUUACUUCAACUUGCUCCUUGACCAAAUGUCAAUGAAAGGGUUCUAUUUAAAUAUGAAUUCUUGGGUUUUCGUAUUUGAUAUUAACCAUAUGAAACUUUGUAGGUCAUUAGAACUUUCAGGGCUAAUCAGGGGGACAGUCAGUAAUUGAUAACAGUCUACCUCCGGUAAUUGACUUUACUUUCUCUUCCUGUGUAUGUUCUGGUUCUCACAAGUACAAGAUCAAGUGUAAAUGAAGUAAGGGGAGGCUUUGUCACUAAACAAACACUUAACUGAUUGCUGCUGGAUGAUAAGCAUAUGAUAAGUGGCAGCUUCAAAGAACAUUUCAACACGAUAUGAAAGGAGAUUCUUGAUUCAAGAUUAGAAGAUUUUGGAGUUCCCUGGUGGCUCAGUGGAUUAAGGAUCCAGCAUUAUCACUGCUGUGGCUUGGGUCACUGACAAGGCACAGGUUUGCUCUCUGGCCUGGGAACUUCCCCAUGUUGUGGGAGUGGCCAAAAAAAAAAAGGUUGUAGGAUUUAAACACCUUCAUUAAUGGGAACUUCGUGGGACUACACACACUUGAGGUCACUUCUUCCUAGGACUUUGGUGCUCUGAUGUUCAUGUGUCAUCCCACAAGAGCAGUGUUAGCUCCAUAUAUUCCAUGUAUGCAACCGUGUUGCCCAAAGUUGUGAACUCUAACACCAUUGUGUUUAUUUUUAUGAGAAUUAGGUCAAGAUUAGCCUAAGCAGAGGCAACAAAUAACUUCAGAUCACAAGCGAAAUGGGAAAUGAAAUGUGUUUUAUACAGAAUCUUUACAGAUGGAUUUUGCAAAGAACAGUUCAUUAACUGUAUGCCCAACUGGGAAUACAUUUUUAAUGAUUUGCAGGUAGUCUAGAGAAAAGCUAAAUUAAAAAAUUGCAGCCCCAACUGCUCCUCUAAAAUGGGCUAAGAACUAUAGCUAUGAAUUAAAAUAACUUGUGAAUUUUUCUAACCAAAAUAAAAAUACCAGUUAUGAAAUAUUUCUUUUACUCAUUGCCAAUUCUUUAAUAGUCCAUUAGGUAUUUCUAGGAGGUGGAGCAGUUGAAAUGAAAAUUGGAGCUCAGAAAUCUGAAAAGCCAAAAUUUUGGAUAAACUGGCUGAGGAGAGAUAGAACUGGGUUGAAAGGAGGCUUUUUCUGUGGUAGAUUUGCCUUCAAACUGGGCAUAUGUUUCAUUUGGAUAAGUCUUUGAAAGUUCCAGGAAUCACUGAAAAAAAGAGACUUGAAGGAACUUAGAACUAGUUUAAUUCUACUGCAGCCUAAGAGUAGGCCACUUAAUGGGGAAGGCAUUCAGUUGCUUCUAUAUGACUUAGCUAACUCCACUGUCCUUUGCAGAUUAAAAGCUGAGCAGCUCAACUUGAUUAAAGAAUCUGCUCUUUUAACCCACUCCUCCACUUGAGACCCUUGUUACUUGAAACUGGGUUUCUUAUAUGCUACUUCUCUUUUUCCUAACCCAGAAGUUAUUGAUUGAAUGUGUUGUUCUUUAUGUCAUUGUUUAUAGGGAAAGCUAGUCUUUAUCCUGUUUCAUUUCCACUUCCUAGGCCAACAUUUAAGAACAUUUAAAUCUUUCUGUUGCUUAUGCUGGACAUGCUGGUAAUAACAUGGUAAGUAGUUAUAUGAUGAGUAAUUGUGUGUCCAGCAGUAAAGCUGAAUAUAGUUUUAUUUGUAUAUAUUUUCCUCUAGGUGUUUCAUAGGAGUGAUUUUCAGUUCCCAGGUCCUUUUCAGAACUGGCCUUAAAAAAAAACCUCCAAAAACAAAACAAUACAAAAAUACCAAAAAACCCUUAACUACAAUGAAAGCAGUUCAUUUACAGGGACCCCUUCUUCUAUGACUCCACUUAUAACACAGAUGCUGGCAUGGUAUUUAUACCUACCUAAAAAGAAGAUGCACUCAUAUGUGGCGUUACUUCAUUAAGAACAACUCCCCCCAAAUUAUAACUUUUAUUUUUUUAUGACUGUUUCUUUAAAUAGCAGCCAUUCUUGGUUUCAUUUUUUAAAUAUCAAAGGAGUAAACCUAAAACAGGCACCUUCAGCUUUUUUGUACCUAGAGAUUUUAUUUUAGGAAAAAGUAAAAAAGAAAUCAAAUUUCCUUGAGGCAAAAAUUGGAAAUUUGACUUUAAUCAGGGUUCUUCAAACUACUAAUUACCUGAAGAAAAAAAUGAGAUAGAAUCAUGGAAUGUUAGUGCUAAACACUAUUUAGUUUGGUCUCUUUACUCAAGAGUCAGAGAAACUUGGGGCCCUAUUGGCCAGCCAGUUCUCUAGUAGGUUAUACAGAUGGGUAGCGGGAAGUCUGUGGGGAUUUCUCUCAAUUCAGAGUGAUUCUGUUGAACCCUGUGUGUUUGGUUGGAUUUGGCUUAGGAAGUGGUGAAAGAAGGGAGGCUAAGGAAAAACAACCCAUGACAGGUUUAUGGCCAGCUCGUUAAAUUAAAUCCUUUGCUUGACACUGUAUUGCUUUCUUUGCUGGGUGUGGAUUGACAGGUAUUGAUGAAAUGCCUUAGGUUCUAAUUCAAAAUGCUGGGUGACAAAAGUUGUAACUUUGACAGGUUGAGGUUAUCAACAAGCCGCAGGGUGAGUGUAGGGACUCCAGGCUGUAGCAGCCAUUAUACUGUCUGUAGUGAGCCUCUGUGCUUUAAUGGGGAUGCACUUGAUCUCUUCACCCCCAAAGAGUAGAUUAAGUGCUUCAGUAAAUAUGCCAUUAAGAUACUUCAUUGUACUAAGCCAUUAAUACACACCUCAGAUAGGCCUUCAGCCACCCAAGAAGCAUUUGAACGGCCUAGAAAAACACCUAAUGCUGUAUCUACUUUGACAUUUCAUUAUUAAAUACAAUUUCAAAAUUUUGGGAAGUAAUUUUUCUACUGCUUUGAAUAAAGUCAGAGUGGGGAAAAUAGCAAAUUCCUUUCCAAUCUACUCUAAAUGACUUCCUCUGCCACCACAUCACUUUGUGGUGGUCCUAACUACAUUAAUUCCUUGACCAUGGGCCUGAGUCAGGCUUAAGGUUUCAGAGUAUCUUUUUAGAACCAGCUAAGCUUCUGUAACAUUUCAUUUUCUUAUUGAAGAAGCUAAAUGAGAAGCAUUUUAGAGAUGUUUGCUAUGGUGUACUAUUUGUGUUUGUUCUCUGCUAUUUUAUUUCUUAUGUUUCUGGACAUAAUUCUUAACAAUAGUAGAAUAACAUGGUAAUAGAAUUAAUUUUAAACCACAUUGGACCCGGGAGAUCAUUUAACUCUUCAUUUUAUUUGUUUUUUAUUUUAUUUUAUUUUGUUUUUUGUUUUUUCUAGGACCGCACCUGUGGCAUAUGGAGGUUCCCAGACUAGGGGUUUAAUCGGAGCUGUAGCCACCGGCCUAUGACAGAGCCACAGUAAUGCAGGAUCUGAGCCACGUCUGCGACCUACACCACGGCUCACGGCAACGCUGAAUCCUUAACCCACUGAGCAAGGCUAGGGAUUGAACCCGAAACCUCAUGGUUCCUAGUUGGAUUUGUUAACCACUGAGCCAUGAUGGGAGCUCCCUAACUCUUUAUUUUAGAGGUGAAGAAAUUGUAGGUAAAAAAUGUGAAGGUACUGUUAUUUGUGUUGCCUUUGUGGUCUUAAAGAAAUUUGGUAGCUACAGCUUAAUUCUUUUCUUAAAACUAUAAACUUAUUUAUCCUCUCUAAUCCCUCGUCAUGAUUUGGUUUUCAUCACCUCUUAGUGAUUGAUAUGACAUUUUGGUUAAGAAAACUUAGGUACAAAAAAAUUAUUUUCACAAAGUCAGAGAUCAAGAUUAGGUAGAGGAAAAACCUGGUGUUGAAUUCUGGGACUUCUGAUAUACCCUGAAAAUUUUGUAAGACAGUCCUUCAAAUGUUUUACGUGGAGUGAUAACAUUGACUUACUAAAUUCAGAUAAUUUUGUAACUCCUUUGUCUUUUUUGGGGGGAAGAGGUGGUUAUGACUGAUUUCAGUGAAAGACUGACAUUAGGCUGAAUUGACAGGCAAUCAUGUAUAUCACGCAUAUCAGUAUAGGAAAAGCGUUGUCCAUGGAAGACUUCUUUGAAAGGGGCCUUGUGGUACCAGUCUCCAAUAGUAUAAGAAGUUGUCUACCUCAGCUCUAGAACCAUGAGAUGAUCUUGUUGUAUCCUAUAGAUUUGUCACUUACUAAGCUGGGAUUUAGUAACUUUUUUUUAUCAUCACUUAUAGCUUAAACAAAACAAAUGCCCCUGCUCUUAGACAAACAAAUCCUUUCUUCCUAAUUAGCUUUCAGGAUAUACUUUACCUGAAGAAUGAGCAGGUAUUAGGUAUUAUUAUUCGGAACAAAAAUAGUUAUGCACCAAGAAAUCAUGAGACUGUAGAUGAUUUUUUACAGUAAACAAAGUGUUACUUUUCAAUUUUAAAAAUAUCAGACAUAAAAACAAACAAAAAAGACUUCUUGUGGUGAUUUUAUUUUCUGAUCAGAUCCCUUUUUAGUGCUCGCAUAAGACCAUGUAUCUUAAUACUACCACUGAAUUUCAUUUCUCUUCAAGCUUAUAAAAUUUCAGGAAUCCGAGACACCAGGAUAGACAGCCACAUCAACCUUUUGAAAACGUUGUAAUACUUAUUUUCCCUGUCUUUUCCACUAUAUCUUAAGUUCUCCCAGGUCAGAGACCAUGUCUCCUUCAUCAUUGUAUCUCUAGUUCCUAGAACAGUGGUGUACUCAGUAUCUUUUGGAUGAAUCUGUGAAUUAAAUUCUGUAAUCCUGUGUACCUUCUGAGUUUCUUCUGGGUAGGAUAAAAUUCCAGUUCUAAGUGUAUACAACAGGGUAGUGUCCUAAAAUGGCAUCAAGUUUAGUCACAUAUAACUUGAUCCAGCUGUUAAAUAAACAGGCAGGACGCUGUGAGGUAUAGUAAACAGCAGAGUACGUGCCUUCUCCAUGCUGAUGACAUGGUUUUAUUAACACAAACCAGGAUUUUCCUUUAGAAGCUGCAGAACCUGUUGCCUACUUACUGUCAGAACAGUUUAACAUCAACUGUGCUACAACGAAAACCAUUGUAUUUGACAGACAUUCUCCAGUAUUUAAAUGAACAAUACUAAGUAACCCCAUACAACAGGUCAACUCAUUCAGCUAUUGGAAUGUAUAUUUUGCAGCCAACCUACCCGGGUGGGUCCAUGGGGAUACA
rnacentral:lncRNA from 9 species